GAAUGAAAAAAGUAUAGUAAUGUGCACAAAUAUUGAUUUGGGUCUUUAGACAUGUCCUCUCUGAUGCCUUUGGCUUUAAUUUGAGGACAUGGUUCCACAGCAAAACG